AGAGAAGGCCCUUCUCCCUUUAGCCACCCUCUGUAUUUCCUUCAGAAGGGGUUCUCUGAGAAGGACUCCAGAAGAUGAUCUUAGGGCCAGUGUGCACAUGUAUGGAAAGAGAUGCUCCUUUAGAUAACCUGGCCCCAAGCCAUUUAGGGCUUUAAAUACUAGUGUUAACACGUUGAAUUGGAUAUCAAUCGGUAGCCAAUUAAGUUGACAGAGGGCUGGCAUUAUAUAUUCGUAUGGGCCAGUCCUCAUCAGCAGCCUCAGUGCCCUAUUCUGGACCAAUUGAAGUUUCUGGUCCAUCUCCAAAAGUAGCUCAGCAUAGGGAGUGUUACAUAAUCCAGACAAGAGGUUACCAGAGCAUGAGUUACUGUUGCACGGAAAUGGCCUUUUCCUCUUCCAUUCCUCUCACUCAGGAGGACAGCUGAACAAAGAGUGCUGUGGGAACAUAUCGCCAGCAUUUGCCCAGCAAAGGACUGAGCCUGCCCAGCGCUUUCCAGUUGCUUUGGCUACUCCACAUUUACAUGCAUAGGCUCACAGAUCUGGCGGGUCAGUGGAGGCAUCUAGUCCAGCCACAUGGCUCACAAAACUAUUUUGCACCAGGUCUUCCCAUAGGCAGUAGGGCAUAUUGCAAGACCUUUUUCAUGCCGCUAGGAUGUGACCUCUCCCUAGUAAACAGGCCUGGCUGCCCUCGCCCCUUUCGCACGGCACCGUGGCAUGCUAGGUCAGGACAAAUGAAGAUGCCAGGAACCCAUGCCUUGCACAAUCGACCUAUAUAUGCGGAAGGCUCCCCAGCUUUGGUUAGGGUGGAGUAAUACGUAACUACCCUAUGCAAAAAGAAAGGAAAGUGACAGUGUCGUCAAUUACUUUUGAAUGCUUGUCAAAGGUGCCUUUAAUGCAGGCUAUCUAGAAAGCUCAUCAGCCCAAAUGUUUCUUGGGAAGUGCAGUUGCCGUGCCUUGAAGUGUGAGAGCUAAUUGGCUCUUGAAGGAAAGCCCCUUUCAUUUCCUCCGUGACUUGCAUCUCAACAGGAAACCUUCCUUUUUCAGCAAAUCAUCGUAAAACUUGGUUUAACUUGCUCAUUAGAUUGAACUAGUCACAUUAUUUUUUUAACGUUUCCCCUAAUCUGGUUAAGAUGUUUCCUUUUCUCUUGUUUCAUCUGCUGUAGUUAUUCAUACAAGCUGGAGCAAUUCUCCACUCUGCUUCCAGGAAUCUGCUGUUGUUUGCAUUUUUCAUGCAAAAUUUCGUUGUGAAAGCUCAGAGGUCUUCAGCGAUUGGGUGAAUGCCAUGUGGCUUCUGAAGGAUGACCUCUUCCCUUCACAACCGCCCCAAGCCUUUCCACUGCUGCUUCUGCCGUAUCUCUUCCUGCAGAAGAUCUGUUACCGAUGAAAAGAUGGAAUCGCUGCACAGUGCCCUCUGGGUGAAGCCCUGAAAUCGGCCAGCGGAAGGACAGAAAGCAGACUUAAUUAGAUUGUGUUUUAUUAGGUACUGUGCAGGUUUCACAUUACAUCUAGAAUUAGCUGGGAUGAGCAGAAACAGAAUGUCAUUGCUCCGCAUUUCAGAAAAGAUAAACAGUGACCUGCCUGGAGCCUGAAGAGACACACAGUGAUUUUUUAAUGUACCAGAUCAGAUUCGGCAUAUGUUCAGAAUCAUGCUUUUCCUUAUUAUCUGUGCCCAAAUAAAGUAGUGGGAUUGCAUUCCCAACAAA